rnacentral:lncRNA from 1 species
AAACCCAAACAGAUUAAACAUUAGAAAAAAAACUAAAAAUAAAAAAAAGUCUAUUGGACUACCGGUAGUUAAACCCAGCCGCUUGGCUGUUGGGUUUUUCAAGGGAAAAUGGAUUGAAAAUAUAAAAAUCAUUUAUUAACUAAGACCUAGGAAAAUUAAACGUAAUUUCAAAGAUUUAUUCUGUUUAAAGUAGAUUAAAAAAGAAAAUUGGAAUAGUGUACAGAAGCCUUUCCUCGUUCUCUCCAAAUCUCACUUUCUCAAAAUCAACCUCUCAACCUCACGUCUCUCUCGUAAAAACAAUCUCCACAAAUCUCUCUCUCACCCUCAACGAUUCGAUCUCAAACUGCGCUCACCUCUCCCAAUCGCUUGCACCCAUUCGAAAUGUACCAAUCUCACACCCUAAUCUCAUCCCAAAUGCACAAUAUCCACGGCUUUAAAUAAAUUUGAAGCUUACCUUCGGUGGCGGUUCGGUAGUGACGGUAAGGCUCGGGACGAAUUUCUUUACCUC